rnacentral:lncRNA from 1 species
AGUGGAUCGAAACAAUUCCAACUCAGCCCAAUAAGAAUUAUUGAUUAUCUAGAUAAUUCUCAUGAGUCUCACAAUCUACCAGUGACACCUAGCAGCAUGUAGUGGCAUUCUAGUAAAAUGAAAUACUGAAUCUCUUGAUACAGUUACCAUAUGAUAUAGUCCUUCUAUCAUGAGUCCCGACUAGAUGGAGGUCAUGGAAUAACUCGUUAAACCCCAUCGUCUGUCAUAUGUCAAAUUUAUUCGACUCGAGUUUCUAAUAUCGAAAAUUCUUUUCCACUAUUAACUCUGUCCUAGCAAAAAUCUUCUAAACUCGGUCUCAUAAAUCACAUAGGACAAACGCCCCUAUCUAUCAAGGAAGAUAGAUUCUCUAUAGAUGCACACCUUAUUCCUAC